ensembl:lncRNA
CCAUGGCCACGCUGCUGCCGUCAAUGACCACUCUGCGCAAUUCCUGGUUCCCAGGUUCUCCUGAUAAGUUCAGCUCAAAGGGUGUGUUCAGGGCCUCAUGGUACCUCUGGAAGCUGGUCACUGUGCUGUUCACCUGUGGGUGGCGAGGUGACUGCCUCGGGCCCCCCUCCCAACCCCCCAAGAGCUGGUGCUUACUGCUGGACUGGACACCCUGCCUUCCAGGUUCCACCUGGCCCUUUGGUAAGGAGGCAUCACCCUUUGAUGAAGGUUGGACUUCACUCAAAAGUCUGGCUACAUCCAAGGUCGGCCCUGUACCUGUGGGCACUUUCUGGACUGCAGGUGUUUGGGGAGCUCUGGAGGCUUUAGAAGCUGCAGGUGCUUUGGGAGCUGCAGAUGUUUUAGGAGCUGCUGAUGCUUUGGGAGCUGCAGACUCCAUUUUAGUCACGGGCCCAGUUUGAGCUUUGAGUGUUUUGGGACUUGCAGGUGAUGUUUUGGUUGCCAGCAUCUUCUGUGCCAUGGCAGUUUUUGGAGUUGUAGACAUCACUUGAGCUGCUGAUGCCAAUGCUGGUUGAUCCACAGCAGCUUUUUGAGCUGUGGACACCACUUGAGCAGUAGGCAUUGUUGGAGCCAAAGGCACUUUGGGAGCUGCAGGCUCUGUGCUCACUGCCGGCAUCAUUUGGGAUGUAGGCACUUUGGGAGCUGCAGGCUGCCCUUGAGUUAGGGGUGGGUUUUCAGCUUUGGGCACUACUGCAGCCACGGGCACUUUGAGAGUUUCAGGCACUGUUCCAGCUUCAGGUGCUGACUGGGCUGUCAGCCCACCUUGAGCCAUGGGCCUUCCUUGAGCUGUGAGCACCCCCUGUUCUGUGGGUGAUGCUGGAUAGGGCCCCUUUUCCAGCCACAUACAAUCUGGCUGCAGACUUCCUUGGUUCCUGCGCUCACCUCCAGCUUGUAGUUGUGUGGUAGAGGCCAAAAGUGGAAGUCUUGGGCUAACUUUGUCCUUUUCACCUGAGCCUCCUGGGACCACCAAUAAACUCAUGACUUUUGGGGGUGUCUCUGGCCUUGGGCAAUUCUGUAGAGUUGUCUCUGUAGAUUUGUAGACCAGUUCCCCAUCUGGCCUACAAGCUGGGCUUUCUGCACUAGGCAAAGGAGCCAGCUCCUUCUGCUUCCACUCUAGAUUUAAGGGCAAAGCACUCUGCCCUGGCAGCUUUAGCUGAAUGGGGCCCAGCGGCCUCUGCCAGAAUGGGAGACUAAAGCAUGCCUGGGACAGGAGCCAGGCCAGGUGCAGAGAAUGCAGUUGAUUGAUCCUCCAGAAGGCUGCAGCAAUAGUCCCUGGCCACAAGGGCCCAAAGGCUGGCCCUGGGGCCCAGGCCUUCCAGGAUGGAUACACACCCAGGGCUGACACCGGAGGCUGGAAGGGGAAUUUCUCUUCUACCUUCUGGACCUGCUUUUGUUGCAGCAAGGCUGGUGUGUGGUUCACAGAGUCCUGGCUGCUGGUUGCUCGUACCAGCCCUUCCUCUCGAUCACUGUCCCAUUACCACUUUGAUUGUUGGAACCGACCCUAGAGGAAGCCCAAGUUUGUUGAAAAGCUCCAUUAGGGAACGAAUGCUCCAUUUUGGGUCUCCAAGAACCAUCCUGAAGAUCCCGCCACACCUCUGCUUAGUACCCAGGAACCCUCCCUGCACAGGAUUAUGCAGACCUCUUCCACCCAACAUAGGCCACAGACCUACCUGCAACCCCUCUCCAAAGAACCUGAAAUAUACCCAAGUGUAACCUCUUUCAACCAGUCAAAAACAGCACGAAAUUUGAUGGCCAUCCCAAGCCAGCUCCUGCCACCUGAACCUCAGCUGUCCCACUGCCUUGCAAGGGUGACUCUGAGCAGGUGCAGAAAACCCUCAUAAAUGUCCCCCAUCCCAUGAACC